CACGUAGGGCGCGAGCGUUGUCCGGAAUUAUUGGGCGUAAAGAGCUCGUAGGCGGUCUGUUGCGUCCGCUGUGAAAACCCGGGGCUUAACCCCUGGCUUGCAGUGGAUACGGACAGACUAGAGGGAGGUAGGGGAGAAUGGAAUUCCCGGUGUAGCGGUGAAAUGCGCAGAUAUCGGGAGGAACACCGGUGGCGAAGGCGGCGACCUGGAUCGAGACUGACGCUGAGGCGCGAAAGCGUGGGGAGCAAACAGG
rnacentral:rRNA from 1 species